rnacentral:rRNA from 1 species
UGGUUUGACACCUUUUUCACCAUGAUAGUUAUAGGAAAGAUAGCUAUUAAGGUGAAAAAGGUGUCAGAUAGUGGCGGACGGGUGAGUAACGCGUGGGUAACCAACCGUAUAGAGGGGGAUAACGGCUAGAAAUAGCCGCUAAUACCGCAUGGUCUUGUAAGACGGCAUCGUCUAACAAGUAAAGAUUUAUUGCUAUACGACGGACCCGCGUCUGAUUAGCUAGUUGGUGGGGUAAAGGCCUACCAAGGCGACGAUCAGUAGCCGACCUGAGAGGGUGAUCGGCCACAUUGGGACUGAGACACGGCCCAAACUCCUACGGGAGGCAGCAGUGGGGAAUAUUGCACAAUGGGGGAAACCCUGAUGCAGCAACGCCGCGUGAAGGAAGAAGUAUUUCGGUACGUAAACUUCAGACGCCGAUGAAGAAAAAAAUGACGGUAAUCGGGCCGGAGCCCCGGCUAACUACGUGCCAGCAGCCGCGGUAAUACGUAGGGGGCAAGCGUUAUCCGGAAUCACUGGGCGUAAAGGGUGAGUAGGCGGCUUCAUAAGUCAUAUGUGAAAGCCUGGUGCUUAACAUCAGGAUUGCAUAAGAAACUAUGAGGCUAGAGUAUGGGAGAGGUAAGCGGA